CCUACGGGUGGCAGCAGUGAGGAAUAUUGGUCAAUGGUCGGGAGGCUGAACCAGCCAAGCCGCGUGAGGGACGAAGGCCCUAAGGGUCGUAAACCUCUUUUGUCAGGGAGCAAAGACUGGGACGUGUCCCCGUAUGAGUGUACCUGAAGAAAAAGCAUCGGCUAACUCCGUGCCAGCAGCCGCGGUAAUACGGAGGAUGCGAGCGUUAUCCGGAUUUAUUGGGUUUAAAGGGUGCGCAGGGGGUUGGGUAAGUCAGCGGUAAAACCCCGGGGCUCAACCCCGUACGGCCGUUGAUACUGUAAGUCUUGAGUGUGAGAGAGGUAUGCGGAAUGCGUGGUGUAGCGGUGAAAUGCAUAGAUAUCACGCAGAACUCCGAUUGCGAAGGCAGCAUGCCGGCUCGAAACUGACGCUGAGGUACGAAAGCGUGGGUAUCGAACAGGAUUAGAUACCCCUGUAGUC
rnacentral:rRNA from 1 species